rnacentral:rRNA from 1 species
UACGGAGGGUGCGAGCGUUGUUCGGAAUUACUGGGCGUAAAGAGCGCGUAGGCGGCCAGGUAAGUCAGAUGUGAAAGCCCACGGCUCAACCGUGGAAGUGCAUCUGAAACUGCUUGGCUUGAGUAUGGGAGGGGAAAGUGGAAUUCCUGGUGUAGAGGUGAAAUUCGUAGAUAUCAGGAGGAACACCGGUGGCGAAGGCGACUUUCUGGACCAAUACUGACGCUGAGGCGCGAAAGCGUGGGGAGCAAACAGG